GAUGAACGCUGGCGGCGUGCCUAAUACAUGCAAGUCGAGCGAACAGAUGAGGAGCUUGCUCCUCUGACGUUAGCGGCGGACGGGUGAGUAACACGUGGAUAACCUACCUAUAAGACUGGGAUAACUUCGGGAAACCGGAGCUAAUACCGGAUAAUAUAUUGAACCGCAUGGUUCAAUAGUGAAAGACGGUUUUGCUGUCACUUAUAGAUGGAUCCGCGCCGCAUUAGCUAGUUGGUAAGGUAACGGCUUACCAAGGCAACGAUGCGUAGCCGGCCUGAGAGGGUGAUCGGCCACACUGGAACUGAGACACGGUCCAGACUCCUACGGGAGGCAGCAGUAGGGAAUCUUCCACAAAGGGCGAAAGCUUGACGGAGCAACGCCGCGUGAGUGAUGAAGGUCUUCGGAUCGUAAAACUCUGUUAUUAGGGAAGAACAAAUGUGUAAGUAACUAUGCACGUCUUGACGGUACCUAAUCAGAAAGCCACGGCUAACUACGUG
rnacentral:rRNA from 1 species